UAGUCCACGCCCUAAACGAUGAUUACUCGACGUGUGCGAUAUACGGUACGCGUCCAAGCGAAAGCAUUAAGUAAUCCACCUGGGAAGUACGUUCGCAAGAAUGAAACUCAAAGGAAUUGACGGGGGUCCGCACAAGCGGUGGAGCAUGUGGCUUAAUUCGAUGAUACGCGAGGAACCUUACCUGGGCUAGAAUGCUGCCUGACCGCUGGUGAAAGCCAGUUUCUUAGCAAUAAGCAGGUAGUA
rnacentral:rRNA from 1 species